UACGUAGGGACCAAGCGUUGUUCGGAUUUACUGGGCGUAAAGGGCGCGUAGGCGGCGCAAUAAGUCAUUUGUGAAAUCUCCGGGCUUAACUCGGAGCGGCCAAGUGAUACUGUUGUGCUAGAGUGCAGAAAGGGCAAUCGGAAUUCCCGGUGUAGCGGUGAAAUGCGCAGAUAUCGGGAGGAACACCGGUGGCGAAGGCGGUUCUCUGGGCCUUACCUGACGCUGAGGAGCGAAAGCGUGGGGAGCGAACAGG
rnacentral:rRNA from 1 species